GACGAACGCUGGCGGCGUGCUUAACACAUGCAAGUCGAACGGAAAGGCCUGCUUUCCCUUGUGGAUUGCGGGUACUCGAGUGGCGAACGGGUGAGUAACACGUGAGUGAUCUGCCCCCAACUUGGGUAUAAGCCUGGGAAACUGGGUCUAAUUCCCGAUAGGACUGCAGGGUGGUGCCUGUGGUGGAAAACGAUUUUCUAGUGGUUGGGGAUGAGCUCGCGGCCUAUCAGCUUGUUGGUGGGGUAAUGGCCUACCAAGGCGGCGACGGGUAGCCGGCCUGAGAGGGUGGACGGCCACAUUGGGACUGAGAUACGGCCCAGACUCCUACGGGAGGCAGCAGUGGGGAAUAGUGCACAAUGGGCGGAAGCCUGAUGCAGCGACGCCGCGUGGGGGAUGACGGCCUUCGGGUUGUAAACUCCUUUCGACCGCGAGGAAGCCACAUGGUUGGAAGGGUGGUGACGGUAGUGGUAGAAGAAGCACCGGCUAACUACGUG
rnacentral:rRNA from 1 species